UGCGGGGUAGAGCAGUUGGUAGCUCGUCGGGCUCAUAACCCGGAGGUCGCUGGUUCGAGUCCAGCCCCCGCUA
rnacentral:tRNA from 7 species